UCCUUAGUCUCUGUCCCGGGAGCUCGGGGCCCAGCGGGCUGCCGGCUCCUUCCACUUUCUGCCUUGAUGGACUCAAUGAACUUUAAUUUCUUCAUCUGUAAAGGGGGGAUAAUCGCACCCACCCAAGACCCUGGAUCGAGCUCUGCCCUGAACAGCAGAGCAACUCACAGGCGACCCGGGAGCCUCACAGCUGUCGUCAUUUAAUCCAGGGUCACCUGCUCCACGGCACAGGCGGCCGGAGUGAUCACGAGGAAGCCUGUUCAUUUUUCAGUGACUUACUGUUCCUGCGCUGCUCGGGGAGAUGGGUGAGGAGUCGGAGCAAUUUAAGGCUCCCCGC